rnacentral:misc_RNA from 1 species
GUCGGAGGAGGAGGUUGCGAUGAUGCUGAGCGAAGUCGACGACGGCGGCGAUGGAUUUAUUCGGCUGGAGGAAUUGAUGGCUCGAGUUGGGACGGGAUUCGAGGCGGCGGGAGAGUCGGAGCUCCGGGAGACGUUUGAGUUUUUCGACGCCGAUCAGGACGGGAGGAUCACCGCGGAGGAGCUUCACGGGGUUUUCAGAUCAAUUGGAGACGAGCGGUGCACGUUAGAGGACUGCCGGCGUAUGAUAAGAGAUGUGGAUGAGAACGGGGAUGGGUUCGUGUGUUUCGCGGAGUUUGUGCGUAUGAUGGAGCUGCAGAGAUAAUUGAAUGUACGGCUCUUGAUGCUUUUGAUCGGACGGGUGUGAUGGAUUGGGAUAAGGGUUUUUUUUGUUUUGUUUUGGUUUGAGUGUGUGUGUGUGGUAUGUGUAAUAGAAUGAAUAGACAGAAUGAUAAUUGUGGUUUGGAC